GUGGGGAAUAUUGCACAAUGGGCGCAAGCCUGAUGCAGCCAUGCCGCGUGUGUGAAGAAGGCCUUCGGGUUGUAAAGCACUUUCAGCGGGGAGGAAGGCGUUAAGGUUAAUAACCUUGGCGAUUGACGUUACCCGCAGAAGAAGCACCGGCUAACUCCGUGCCAGCAGCCGCGGUAAUACGGAGGGUGCAAGCGUUAAUCGGAAUUACUGGGCGUAAAGCGCACGCAGGCGGUCUGUCAAGUCGGAUGUGAAAUCCCCGGGCUCAACCUGGGAACUGCAUUCGAAACUGGCAGGCUAGAGUCUUGUAGAGGGGGGUAGAAUUCCAGGUGUAGCGGUGAAAUGCGUAGAGAUCUGGAGGAAUACCGGUGGCGAAGGCGGCCCCCUGGACAAAGACUGACGCUCAGGUGCGAAAGCGGGNGAGCAACAGGUNANANACCUNGUAGUCCACGCCGUAACGAUGCNAUUUGAGGUUGUGCCCUGUGNGCGUGNUUCCGGAGCUAACGCGUUAAAUCGACCGCCUGGGGAGUACGGCCGCAAGGUU
rnacentral:rRNA from 1 species